GACGAACGCUGGCGGCGUGCUUAACACAUGCAAGUCGAACGGAAAGGCCUCUUUCUGGGGGUACUCGAGUGGCGAACGGGUGAGUAACACGUGAGUAAGCUGCCCUGGACUUUGGGAUAACUUCAGGAAACUUGGGCUAAUACCGGAUAGGGGCUCCUGCUGCAUGGUGGGGGUUGGAAAGUUUCGGCGGUUGGGGGUGGACUCGUGGCUUAUGAGCUGGUUGGUGGGGUAGUGGCUUACCAAGGCUUUGACGGGUAGGCGGCCUGAGAGAGUGACCGGCCACACUGGGACUGAGAUACGGCCCCGACUCCUACGGGAGGCCGCAGUGGGGAAUAUUGCACCAUGGGUGGAGGCCUGAUGCAGCAACGCCGUGUGCGGGAUGACGGCCUUCGGGUUGUAAACCGCUUUCGCUCAUGACGAAGCUUUGUGUGACGGUAGUGGGUAAAGAAGCACCGGCUAACUACGUG
rnacentral:rRNA from 1 species